AGUAACGGCGAGUGAAGCGGCAACAGCUCAAAUUUGAAAUCUGGAGCUCCUUGGGCUUCCGAGUUGUAAUUUGCAGAGGGAGCCUCGGAGGGCGCGCCGGUCCAAGUGCCUUGGAACAGGAUACCGCAGAGGGUGAGAGUCCCGUAUCCGGCCGGUGGUGCGCUCCGUGUGAGGCCUCUUCGACGAGUCGAGUUGUUUGGGAAUGCAGCUCCAAGCGGGUGGUAAAUUCCAUCUAAAGCUAAAUACUGGCCAGAGACCGAUAGCGAACAAGUAGAGUGAUCGAAAGAUGAAAAGCACUUUGAAAAGAGAGUCAAACAGUACGUGAAAUUGUUGAAAGGGAAGCGCAUGGGGGCAGACUUGGCCGCGGGGUUCAGGGUGCGUUCUCGCGCCUGCACUUCGCCGCGGACAGGCCAGCAUCGGUUCUGGGGGUCGGAGAAAGGCGCUGGGAAGGUGGCAGCCUUCGGGGUGUGUUAUAGCCCGGCGCGCAAUGCGGCCACCUGGGACCGAGGACCGCGCUUCGGCAAGGAUGCUGGCGUAAUGGCCUCAUGCGGCCCGUCUUGAAACACGGACCAAGGAGUCUAACAUCUAUGCGAGUGUUUGGGUGGCAAGCCCGGACGCGCAAUGAAAGUGAACGGAGGUGGGACUUUUGACAAGAAAGGCACCAUCGACCGAUCCGGACGUUUUCCGAAGGAUUUGAGUAAGAGCAUAGCUGUUGGGACCCGAAAGAUGGUGAACUAUGCGUGAAUAGGGUGAAGCCAGAGGAAACUCUGGUGGAGGCUCGCAGCGGUUCUGACGUGCAAAUCGAUCGUCAAAUUUGCGUAUAGGGGCGAAAGAC
rnacentral:rRNA from 2 species